rnacentral:rRNA from 1 species
UACAGAGGUCUCAAGCGUUGUUCGGAUUCAUUGGGCGUAAAGAGCGCGCAGGCGGUCGUUCAAGUCGAGUGUGAAAGCCCCCGGCUCAACUGGGGAGGGUCACUCGAUACUGAUCGACUUGAAGGCAGGAGAGGGAAGCGGAAUUCCCGGUGUAGUGGUGAAAUUCGUAGAUAUUGGGAAGAACACCGGUGGCGAAGGCGGCGACCUGGUCCGAUACUGACGCUGAGGCGCGAAAGCGUGGGGAGCAAACAGG